UUAGUACUCCCUCCGUCCGGAAAUACUUGUCAUCAAAAUGGACAAAAAAGGAUGUAUCUAGAACUAAAAUACAUCUAGAUACAUCCCCUUUUAUUCAUUUUGAUGACAAGUAUUUUCGGACGGAGGGAGUAUAAA
rnacentral:pre_miRNA from 1 species